CCCCUUCUCCCCGCCAGGAUCGAUCCGCCGACGACCUCCUCCUACCCCGCAACCCCAGCCACGCCGCCGACGACCCCCUCCUCUUCCUCGACUCCAGCCCACCUAGCCGAGACGCGCACCGACCAUCCAUCGUCCUCUGCCACCGCCGCCUCCUCCUUCCCCUCCCUCCUCUCAUCUCCUCUUUUGCUCCCCUUCCAACCUCCACUGAGCGCUGCCAUGGCGACCGAGCUGCCAUCCGUCCCUCCCUCCCUCCUCACGCCCGGAACCCUAGCUCGCGGCCAUGGCGACCGUAUGCGUCGCAGGCAGGGCAGGAGCUGCAGCACUCCAACACGUCGGCAAGGGAGGUUGAUAUGGAGGGAUUAAUAAUGGAUCAACGGGCCAGCUUGGUGGCUUUGGGGCAAGAUGUUUUGAGAUCAAACGGUGAGGCGGGCUCAGUUUGUACAGUCCUCGCCAAUGACCAUUCUCUAUGAAACCACAUGUAUUGUUCCAAUGAUUACCACCUGUAUUGUUCCAAUGAUUCCAUUGCGCCCUACGGUUAUGUUUGGUACUAAAAAUAAAAUUAGAAAAUUUGGGGAGUAACAAUUUUGUACUUCAUUGUAGCUACUGAUGAGUUAACUUGCACUUGCGAAAAAGAUAUGGACAGAGACUACAACUGGUUUCUGCCCAUUGGAGUAGAAGAAAGUCGAUGAAUUGGAUCAGUUGAGUGUCUUUCACUGGGCACCGAGGCGAAGAUUAUUGAUCCUGGAAUAGGAGAUGCUCCGCCUCCGGGUCUGCCACGCGAGCUAUGGUUCCGAGGACCCCUUUGUAAUGGAAGGUGGGCAGUGGACCGGCGACAUGCCGGCAGGAGAGACCACUCGUGGGGUCACUUGAAGGGCAUGUCGUCGUGGUUGCCGAACACCGUGGACCACGGGAUGCCCCUGCGAAGAAGAGGGAUCCUAAAGCCAAGAAGCUAUAGGACUGGGAUAACCAGGAGUACAUUACUGGCCCUGAGGACAAGAAGCCAGAGUAUCUGUACUUCCACAUCGUUUAAUACCUAUGGCGGCAUGAGAACUGGGAUGAGGAGGAAUAUGGCGAAUGGACAGCUCCGACCAUUCCAAACAUGGAUUGCAAGGGACCAUGGACACAAAAGAAAAUUAAGAAUCCAAACUACAAGGGCAAAUGGAAAGCGCCUUUUAUCGAUAACCCUGACUUACAUCCUGGAUGGUUGAUGGAAAUCCAGUUAUAGAAGCCCUUGUACCUGAACUGAAUAUUGGCAAUACGUUGAUGCUUGCAAAGUUGAAAUAUAACAUGUAGCCAGAGAGGAGGGUGCUGAUUGGCCUAUGUGGUUAUGUAUGAUUCAUAUUACUACAUUGCGAAGGCCUGCAACACAUGGAUUCAUGGGCAGAGAAGGUUCCUGCAGCUGAUAAUGACGAUGACAACAAUGUUGACCUUUUUGGAACCGAAGAAGAGUAGAAGGCAGCCGAAGAGCGUGCUGCCAAAGUGAAAAGUUCUUGCAAGAAGAAAGAAUCGUUGUCGUCUUCUUUGCAUGACGGCGUGGUGUCUCGACGCGUGAUGGAUUCACUCACAUGGAGGUAGCUUUUCUCCGCUACUCGGGCGACAGGCUUACAAGCUUUUGGGUCCAUGGCGCCAAUGGUAAACAAGGUAUGUCCUGUUCCGUUGAUUGAUCAGUUCAUCUUGCUUUUAAAAUUCUUGUGCUAUGAUUUGCUCAAAUUCUAUCGAGACAAUAGUGGAAAUCAAAAUUAUUUAUUUUAAAUGCAUGCCAUUUGUCCCUGAUCAUUAGUUCUUGUAACUUCAUGAUGUAAACCUUGUGGCGUUUAAUCUUCUUCCAUAGACCAUGCAUUUGGGAGUUUAUUGCAAGCUCUACCAUCUUGAUGUGUAAUUGCAGAUUGUGUUCUUGCUAUAAUUUUUUAUGACUUCUAUGUUUUAUAAUAUUCCAUGUAAAUUAGAAUAUCCUUGAUGUACAUUCCUUGAUAGUGUAGAUGAAUAUAUACAGCGUAGAUGAUAGUAACCCUUUUAUGAAUAUAUAUUCAUUUUAGACUCUAGCUCAGGUCUGGGCAUUAUAUAAGGAGUUGAAUUUGUCGGUUUAAAAUAUUUGUGCUAUCAAUCCUUUCUGUCCUUCUAGACAAAAAAGUUAUUAGUUUUUUUUUGCUAAUUUAGAAUAUUUCUGCUAUCAUCAAUGUAGAUGGGAAGGGAUAGGAGCUCAACAAGAAAUGGUCUAUAUUGUGAAGGCCUUUAACUAAUAAGUACAGAUUGUUUUUUUACAGAAAACACAAGUAAAGAUUAUGUGAGGUGAUUUAUCCAUUUUUAGAGUUCCCUCAUUAGUGUAUCCCUCAUUGUUAAUUGCUAUGCCUAAUUGCUAUGGUUUUUUAGCCAUUUUUAUAGAGAACACAAGUAAAGAUUAUGUUUGGUUUCCCAUAUUCUUUACCUGCUUAAUUGCUAUGAAAUUUUUCAAUGUCAGAUUACUAUCCACACCUGUAUGCUUUUCGUCCAAGUAUGACGGUUAAUUUGAAUUAGUGUCAUCUUGGUUAUGUGUCGUUCUUCUUUUGAUCAUUUUCUCACAUUCCGACACUAUUUUGUGUGUGUGCUGCCUAAUGUGUUUUGCAGGUACAGAUCUUGGUGAUCAGGAGUAUUAGUAGCUAUCCCAUGUUCUUUGUUCUCAUAUUAGCUCACAGAUAGGUUCUCAACAUGAGUAAUUACUCUCUAAAACAAUAGUUUAGUGGUGUGCUAAGCCACUAUUGCUAUACAAGGAUUAUCAAGAAAAUUUGCUCUAGCAUGUACACUUUGCAGUCAAGUCUAAUGAACAAAGUAAUUAAGAUGAAGCAUUUUCUUGAUUUUAUUAACCUGGAGCUUUUACCAUCUCUUCAUCGGGUCAUUUCUAUAGUAGCAUCCAGUCAAAUCUUUGUUUCUAUAUCUAUAUUUGAAGUCUAUUAAAAACCUAAAAACAUUGAAGGACCGGCAAACCUUUGGUAUUUUUGUCAAAUCUUUUAUUAUCCACAAUAGGAUAUCUAAAUUCAGUUACUCUUUAAUCUUAAAAUUUUGAGAAGGCACUUUAUUUACAUUGGUUGUUACCUUGUGUUAUGCGCUACUGAAAGCUAUGAUCCUAUCUAAGAUGAGGAUAUGCAUAGGAAGGGAGAAAUUUAUUGUGUAUGUGACAUUAUCUUGAAAAAAAAUUACAAUUAUUUAUACAUGCACACGGGUAUGGUGGUUCCCUUUUUGCAGCUCCUUAGGGAGGAGGGGUGUGGACGUACUUGCAGAGUAAAAAGCGAGUGACACAUUGCUCAGAGUGCGCCAAGACUUCCAUAGUGACUCUGAGAAAUUCCAACGCCCAUCUGAGCUCCUCCUUUUGGUGAUGUCAGCCGGUGAAUUUUCUCUACACUGCAGCAGAUCCAUACAUUGCAACACGAAGCAAAUUGGAUUACAAGGCCGUUGGACAAAACUAUCGAUCUAAUAGUCAACUGUAGUUUAUUACUAUGCCAUAUAAACUAUAAAGGCAGUGUAAGUAAGUUAUCUGGGCCUACCACUAUUAUGGCCUGCUUUUGGUAUCUCCAUGCUUUAGGUAUCUCAUGUUAUAUUUUUGACCAAAUGCACCAGCGACAUGUAAUAAGCAUUGAACAAAUGCACUGGAGACAUGUAAUAAGCAUUGAUGUAUUGGACCAUUACUGCUAUAACUAUCUAUCAUCUUCAA